rnacentral:rRNA from 1 species
GACGAACGCUGGCGGCGUGCCUAGUACAUGCAAGUAGAACGCUGAAACUUGGUGCUUGCACCGAGCGGAUGAGUUGCGAACGGGUGAGUAACGCGUAGGUAACCUGCCUGGUAGCGGGGGAUAACUAUUGGAAACGAUAGCUAAUACCGCAUAAGAGUAGAUGUUGCAUGACAUUUGCUUAAAAGGUGCAAUUGCACCACUACCAGAUGGACCUGCGUUGUAUUAGCUAGUUGGUGGGGUAACGGCUCACCAAGGCGACGAUACAUAGCCGACCUGAGAGGGUGAUCGGCCACACUGGGACUGAGACACGGCCCAGACUCCUACGGGAGGCAGCAGUAGGGAAUCUUCGGCAAGGGACGGAAGUCUGACCGAGCAACGCCGCGUGAGUGAAGAAGGUUGUCGGAUCGUAAAGCUCGGUUGUAAGAGAAGAACGAGUGUGAGAGUGGAAAGUUCACACUGUGACGGUAGCUGACCAGAAAGGGACGGCUAACUACGUG